UACAGAGGUCUCAAGCGUUGUUCGGAUUCAUUGGGCGUAAAGGGUGCGUAGGUGGCGCUGUAAGUCGGGUGUGAAAUUUCGGAGCUUAACUCCGAAACUGCAUUCGAUACUGCGGUGCUUGAGGACUGGAGAGGAGACUGGAAUUCAUGGUGUAGCAGUGAAAUGCGUAGAGAUCAUGAGGAAGACCAGUGGCGAAGGCGGGUUGCUGGGCCGACACUGACGCUGAUGCGCGAAAGCCAGGGGAGCGAACGGG
rnacentral:rRNA from 1 species